rnacentral:rRNA from 1 species
CCUACGGGGGGCAGCAGUGGGGAAUAUUGGACAAUGGGGGGAACCCUGAUCCAGCGACGCCGCGUGAGUGAAGAAGUAUUUCGGUAUGUAAAGCUCUAUCAGCAGGGAAGAAAGAAAUGACGGUACCUGACUAAGAAGCCCCGGCUAACUACGUGCCAGCAGCCGCGGUAAUACGUAGGGGGCAAGCGUUAUCCGGAUUUACUGGGUGUAAAGGGAGCGUAGACGGCGAUGCAAGUCUGAAGUGAAAGGCGGGGGCCCAACCCCCGUACUGCUUUGGAAACUGUAUGGCUGGAGUGCAGGAGAGGUAAGUGGAAUGCCUAGUGUAGCGGUGAAAUGCGUAGAUAUUAGGAGGAACACCAGUGGCGAAGGCAGCUUACUGAACUGUAACUGACGUUGAGGCUCGAAAGCGUGGGGAGCAAACAGGAUUAGAUACCCGAGUAGUC